CACAACACUGCCGAAGAGACCCCAAAAAAAGUGAGAAAAAGGUGCCCAAAGCAAGGACGUAAUGUGGAGCACUAUAUAAAUAGACCCGGUGAUCCUUUCCCUCACAGUGUCUCCAAGUGCUCCUUGUAUGGAUGACCUACUUUGCGGUGUGAGGGAGCAGCAGCAACAUCACACAGCUUGAAAGGAGUUUGCCGGGAUGGAGUCGAGUCAUGUGAUGCAUGACAGGAAGGAGCAGAGGCGGGCCUGGUACGAUGCAUUCGCUCUGCUUUUAUUCAGCGUCGUUAGGAAGAGUCGUGUUUGGAAAUUACACAAUGCACUGCGGGUAGAAACAGCACAGAAAGAUCCACAACCCAAAGAGAAAAGAUGGCGAGCGGACAGACGGACGGACGGACGGGCGGGGAGAAAAAAAUUAAGGAGAGACAGAGCACAGGAGAAAAGAAGAAGGGAUUUCAUAGGCCAGGAACAAAACAUCACCAGAUUCAAGUUCAGGCAGCUGCUCACACUCCAUAUUUUUUGUUUUUCCCUAUUUUAUUGUUCACGUGCUCCGGUUGUUCCAUGGCAUGAAGUAACAAUCAUUCUUUGAGCUCAUUACCAA